CCAGCAGCUCCGCAGUCAGGCAGCCUGGACUGGCGGCUCACCUGGAUCCUAUAUUCACUCAUCACUAAGAUGGCCAUGACACCCAGCUCCCGGGGUGGCUGUGAGGCCCUCACGAGAGGACUCUGCCAAGGGUUGUGAGCUCAGGCCUCAGUGCAAGUCUCUCCUCCCAAAUCUCCGAAUCCUGAUCCCCAGCUCCACCUCCAGGCUCACUCACCUCCAGGAACCCCAAACUCCUCCAGGCACCUCCCAGCAGCCGGCUCUGGCAAAACCCAGGUCUCCUGAGGCCCAAGCGUCAUCUGACCGUCAUCACUGCUCUCCGCUCAAGCCUGCCUCUGGAGCCAGGUCCAAGCUCCCCACAUUCCUCCCCACCCUUGAGCCUCGGCACCCACUGUGAGGCCUGCACCACGGCUCAUCUCCCUCUGGCUCCCAGAUGAGGAGACCAAGGCCCACACAGGGGCAGGGACUUGCUCAGGGGGCCCCAGAGGAGAGGCUG
rnacentral:lncRNA from 1 species